GCAAGUCGAGCGGAAAGGUCUCUUCGGAGAUACUCGAGCGGCGGACGGCUGAGUAACGCGUAGGAAUGUACCCCAAAGUGAGGAAUAACUGCCCGAAAGGGUGGCUAAUGCCGCAUGUGAUCCACGGAUUAAAGCUUUAUGCGCUUUGGGAACAGCCUGCGUCCGAUUAGCUAGUUGGUAGAGUAAUAGCCUACCAAGGCGAUGAUCGGUAGCUGGUCUGAGAGGAUGAUCAGCCAGACUGGGACUGAGAACGGCCCAGACUCCUACGGGAGGCAGCAGUAGGGAAUUUUCCACAAUGGGCGAAAGCCUGAUGGAGCAACGCCGCGUGCAGGAUGAAUGCCUUCGGGUUGUAAACUGCUUUUGUUAGUGACGAUUAUGACGGUAGCUAACGAAUAAGGACCUGCUAACUACGUGCCAGCAGCCGCGGUCAUACGUAGGGUCCAAGCGUUAUCCGGAAUUACUGGGCGUAAAGAGUUGCGUAGGUGGCAUAGAAAGCGGAUAGUGAAAGCGUGUGGCUCAACCAUACAUCCAUUAUCUGAACUACUAAGCUAGAAGAUGAGAGAGGUAGAUGGAAUUUCUAAUGUAGGGGUAAUAUCCGUAGAUAUUAGAAGGAACACCGAUGGCGUAAGCAGUCUACUGGCUCAUUCUUGACACUAAGGCACGAAAGCGUGGGGAGCAAACAGGAUUAGAUACCCUGGUAGUCCACGCCGUAAACUAUGGAUGCUAGCUGUAAGAGGUAUCGACCCCUCUUGUAGCGAAGCUAACGCGUUAAGCAUCCCGCCUGUGGAGUACGAGCGCAAGCUUUAAACAUAAAGGAAUUGACGGGGACCCGCACAAGCGGUGGGAGCGUG
rnacentral:rRNA from 1 species